GGGAUGUUGUGGCAAACAAGCCUGCCACAGGCCACCGAAGUGGCUUUCCAAGGGGCCCUCCAGCACAGAGACACAGGGAGAUGAUGUUCCAGUCCACAUUUAUUUACAAGGUUGGCAAGAUGUUACAGCCAAAGUGAGCAGAUGUAAUACAGUCAUGACCGAGGCUCCUUUGUGUGGGUGGGGAUGGCAGAUUUAACCUGUGCACACUGAUUGCCUCACUACGCACAGGUGCAGCCACCCCUGUUCCUGGGUCCAAUCAGCCUGGCCAAUUAUCCAAUUCCUAACCAAUUAGACAACUAGCCAGGUCUAAUUAGCUUGACCCAGGACAGGUGUGGCUGCUUAAACCAGCCAUCCCCACACCACAAUGAUGUUGAUAUGUCCUCUGUGUGAAUGCAGAUGUAGACCCUGAUGUAAUGAAAGACAUGUGAUUGGCUUGGAGGAAGGGUCUAUAUAAGAUAUAAAUGGCUUAAAGUGAAAGAGUGGAGACGUUGCUAAAGUCUAUAUUCUUGGGGACUAAAUUUACUCCCGGAAUAAAGCCUCUUCCCUUCAGAGAGAAUCCAAAAGUCCGGAGGUGCAUAUGCAGAUGCAGACAGCUAUGCAGACUGGUCGAAAGUCGGAGCCUAUGUCGGUGUGGGAGUGGGGCACGCGAGGGCCGAGCUCAGCGUUUUCGAGGCUGAAGUGAACGGGCCGAACAUAUCGGUGGGGGCCCAGGUGUCUCGGACUCACGGGCUGAGCGCGAUGGCCAGCGCCGAAGUGGCCAGUGUUUUGGUGGGCGCUGGCCCGGUGAAGGUAAAGGCGGGCCUGGGGUUCGACACCGGAGUGAGCACCGGUCCCGAUGGCCUGGAAGUGCAGGCGCUAGGCACCGGCGUAAGACUCGGUCCAAAUCCAAAAGUAUCCCUGUUGGGAUCUUCGGUGGAAUGCUCCGUUAUGUGACUGCCUGAAUGAAAAACGGAGAGAUGCAAACCUUCCUGACGUCUUGUUCGCUGCUUUCACUGAUGGCAUUUCUUUUCAGUGCCUUCUGGUUUUACUGAGAACAUAUAGGUUCAGUUUUUGCCCCUGUCCCAUUUAAUUCAAUUUACAGUAAGACUGAACAUUAGCCUAAUAAACAUUUCAGCACAAUUAAAGAAUAGAAACCAAAGUAAUGUUUUUGUAAACUCUUUUUAAUCUUAUGCUUGUCUAUAGAAUAUUGUUCAAGUGCAUUUCAUAUUAAUAAUUUAAAAAAACAUAAAAUACAACUUUUAUAUUGUGUGAAUGUUGUUUGAACCUUGUUUGCUCUUGGAGGUCUGGAUCCUAGUGACUGAUUGACAAAUGUAGGCUAUGGAGACAUUUUGGGGAAAAAGUGUCUAGAAAAUUCAUUAAAAUAGUUUUCUCUCUCCCUUUGGAGGGAGCAAACUUAAAAGUAACUUAUUAACAGCGUGCAGGGGCCUCUAGACUAUUACGAUAAAACUGAAAAUGAAAGUGAGCUCUUGUUUAACUGCAUGUUUGUCAGUAAGACCAUCUGGAUGGCAGUAUCUGCUACACACAUACACUUAACUCAAAUAUCAGUGGUGGCUGUUUAAAAUAAAUCACGAUAAGAAUAUAUUGCAUGUACAAUAUAUUAUUCUUCAUUAAUAAUUGAAUCGUUCAAAGUUUACACACAGGGCAGAGAGGGUUUCACUUUCGCUUUAAAACUCCAUAUAAAGCGAAAGUGGAUUAGGUUUGCAGUCUGACUGCAGUCUUCUUGUGGGCUGGUUUUACUCACGUGGUCAGCAGGCGAAAUUUCUCUGCAGGAUAACGCAUCCUCGAGGUAGGCUUGGACUUGUGUUGUGUAUGGAGUUUGGUGGUAGAGGUGCAUGAGGCGUGCUCAUUUUGUUACUCGGAGUCUGACCGCAUGUCGAUUUACUUUAACGGGACCACAGAGACAGAAUUCACAAAUCAAUCAACUUCAUCAACCCGGUUACAUUAAAUGAUCUUCGCAAUCUAUGGGUGAAUAGGGCUAUUUCGACUUUUGCUCUGAGAGUAGAAAGUAUUCGGCGACACGAAGCUAUGGCUGUUGCCAUUCUAUAGUAAAAUAAUGAUUUCUGUCCAUGCUACUGUAACAUAUGUCAUUAAAUCAAUAGUUUUGUUCCCGUGGCCAAAAUAUCAGGCGAAAUAGCGCCAUCGGGAUACAUAGAAAUGGUUGACACGUUCGACAGACCAGGAACUGCCAUAGCCGAAGGUGCAUAUGCAGAAGAAGGCUUCACCGACAAGCCGAUGAAGCGGUUACCGAAAGCCGGAGCCUACGCCCGUGCGGGAGUGGGGCGCGCGGGGCCGAGUUCAGCGUGUUCGAGGCCGAAGCGAACGGGCCGAACGCGUCGGCGGGGGCCCAGGCAUCCCUGUCUCACGGGGUGAGCGCGAUGGCCAGAGCCGGAGUGGGCAGCGCUUCGGCGGCCGCUGGCCCGCUGAAGGUACAGGCGGGCCUGGGGUUCAACACCGGAGUGAGCGCCGGUGUCGAUGGCGUGGAAGUGCAGUUCCUAGGCACCGGCAUAAGGCUCGGUCCAAGUCUAAAAAUAUCCUUGUUUGGAUCUUCGGUGGAAUUCUUUGUUGUGUGACUGUCUCUAAGAACGGUCUCCAUGACAUCACGUUGGUUGCGGUCAUUCAUGAUAUUAAAUUUAAUUUGAUUAAGCUUUACAGUAAGUGAAUAUUCAUAAACAUUUCAGCAUAAUGAAAGAAUACCAAAGUAAUGUUUUUGUAACCUCUUUUUAAUCUUAUAUUUGUCUAAAGAAUAUUGUUCAAGUGCUUUUUAUAUAUUUUAAACAAAGUAAUAUUUUUGUAACCUCCAUUUAACCUCCUGCUUGUUACCUAAAAAAAGUUAAUAAAGUUAAUUUAAAAAAAUAAAA